CCGAUAUCCGUCUCACUCCAGGU
rnacentral:siRNA from 1 species